rnacentral:lncRNA from 10 species
AUUUUAUCAGUUCGCAAAUCUGAAGUCUCAUACUGUUUUCUGUCUCUUUAAAACACAUUCUUCUGGUGGCUUGGGUUCAUUGUGCAUUCAUUGGCCACUCUUCUUGCAGCAAAUUUUAAAUCAAUUUAAAAUUAGGUAAACUUUUUAUGAUACUAUAAUAUAUAUGACGUUGAAAUGACAUUGGUUCUGAGUCUAUUAAUUUAAAUUUUGGGAUCAUUACAUUCAGAAUGAAAUGAAAUUGACCUUGAUACUAACUUUGAGAGCCAAAAAAAUGAAUGGGUAAACAAAGCCUAAGGGUCAUGUUAAUUAAUUUAACAAAACACACUAUUUUCAGUCCUUUGGGCUUGUACAUUUUAUAGACAAAAUUAGCAUUUAUUGAUUUGGAAGUGUUCAAUUGAGAGUAAAUGACUCUGUGUUUUGAAACUAAUACCUUUGCAUUUAAAAUACUGAAGUAUUAUUUUGUUAGUUGAAGUAGAUCUUUUCCUGUGUAGCAUGAUUUAAUGCAGAGCAGUUAUUCACUUAUACUUCUGAAAAGCCAUAAUAUUGAAAUUUAAAAUGAAUAGUCUUACUUUAAGGUCACUUUUACUUUACAUUUUACUUUAAAGGUCGUUUUUAGACUUUAUGCACUAGUGGUAUUGAAACUAACCUUUAAUAUUUGACUAAAUUGCUUGUGAAUUUUUGGAAACUAUGUUUAAUUUUUAAAGACAUUGUUAUGUGAAUUAUCUUACUAAAUUAUCACUUAAGAACUCUCUCAUAGCAGUAAUUUCAUUAACACAUAUAUAUACUAACCAAUUUGCUAAAUGAAUUGUCGGUUGUCCUGCUUAAGUACUAGGGCCAAGCUUUGAAAUGACUUAAAGUGAUCUGAAUUUUGAUUGAGAAAAAUAAUCUGUCUUCUAUCGAAUGUUUGAACUUUUAGUGAUGAGCCUCAGCAAAGUUUCACCCUGCAUGAAGCAGAACAGGUGGGGGAAAAUUACAAGAGGGGUCUGUACCAAAAAUGGCCCCAGGAUAUUCCAUUGAACAAAUAUUGACCAUUAUCUUCCUAGGUGCUACAACUCCAUACUAGUCAUUACAGUUAGUCUUUGGUUUCACAAAAAUGUUACUGCUUCAAAGGCUUGGCAUUAACAGUGAUGUCAGCAUUCAUACUGCCAACAGUCUGCUGGUCAUACAUGGAAGACUGUUAAAGUGUGGUCUGUGCAUCAUUGAGCAAUUGUUAUGUAGACACAAGGCCUGCUUCACUCAGGAUAGCUUGCUCCUCUCGCUGAGAAGAGAUACCUGAAGUCUACUAAGUCUACUAAAUGAGAUAUAUAUGUGUAUGUAUAUGCCUAUAUAUAUUAUUAUAUUUACUAGUGUUUGUGAUAAUGUUAUAAAAAUUAAUAAGAUUGUUUUGUUUUGUAUGAAUGUACGACAAAUCGAGUUGUUCAAUGUAUUGAAUGAAUGUCUUACUGUAAGCAUCAGAGCUGUCCAACCAUGUGUAAAUGUACCUGGUCUUUUGAUCACUGACACUACUUUGCUGUUCAAUCUGGAAUCAACUGACCUGGCUCUGCCAUUGAGAAAUAACUAAUUUAGAACAAAAUUGUUAAAUUUUAAAAUUGCAUUUCUACUAGAAAUAGCUUUGGAGAGUUAAUUUUAGGUGCGAAUAACAGGAUAAAUGCUAUCUGAUCAAGCAUUCAUCCGAAAAAUGUUUUUGAGAAUUCACUUUGUGCAAGGCACAGCUGUUGGGGCUGGUAUAUGUGUGGACAUGUUUGAUUUGAAAACCUUCGUGGUGUCUCUGUGUGUUAUUGAUCAUCUGUGUCUUUUGCUUAAAAUGGCAUUAUUUGUAACACAAACCUAAUAUCAUAUAUACAAAUAUACUGUAUGUAGCCAAGAACACUAAAUUGGUAAGACGCUUUAGAAAAUAUGCAUUUGAAUUUGAAUAUCUAAUGCCUCAAGCAAAUUUAUUAGAGUUUCAGAUGAAUAUAUAUUUUUGUAACUGGCAAGUAAAUGAGUAGAACAGAGCUUUUUGCCUAAAAAUAUUUUUAUAAGUACUCAUUUACAUAGUAUUCAUUAUUUUAAAUGACAAAAUAUCAAAUUGGUUCUAUAAAUAGUAAUUGUUUUGAAUAUAUCCAUACUUAACAUCAUAUGAAAUCCAAAAUUUAAUGAUAAAUUUCAUCUGGAUGUGUUAUUAUAAAAGUCAUCUUUUUUUCCUUUGUAAAAUAUCCAUGUAACAUAGCUUCCAUUACUCCAUAUUUUAUGUAUGGUUAAAAUUAUCAAAGUGCAUUAUGUAUUUUAUAUUGUUUAUUUUUGUCUGCAUGAAAGAUUGGAAUAGUAACCGUGUAUGAUAAAUGUUAAUAAUAAUAAAGUGAAAUGUAGUAUGACC